rnacentral:rRNA from 2 species
UCUGGUGGCGAUGCGUCUAUGGGAAACACCCAUACCCAUACCGAACAUGAUGGUUAAGCCAUAGACGGCCGAUGGUACUUGGCGGGAGACUGCCUGGGAGAGUAGGUGGCUGCCAGAA